rnacentral:rRNA from 1 species
ACUGCUCAGUAACACGUGGACAACCUACCCUAAGGAGGGGGAUAACCCCGGGAAACUGGGGAUAAUACCCCAUAGACUAGAGAAGCUGGAAUGCUCUCAAGUCCAAAGGUCCGCCGCCUUAGGAUGGGUCUGCGGUCGAUUAGGUUGUUGUUGGGGUAACGGCCCAACAAGCCCGUGAUCGAUACGGGUUGUGAGAGCAAGAGCCCGGAGAUGGAUUCUGAGACACGAGUCCAGGCCCUACGGGGCGCAGCAGGCGCGAAAACUUUACAAUGCGGGAAACCGUGAUAAGGGAACCCCGAGUGCCCGUAAAUUCGGGCUGUCCAUCAGCGUAAAUAACUGGUGAAGAAAGGGCCGGGCAAGACCGGUGCCAGCCGCCGCGGUAAUACCGGCGGCUCGAGUGGUGGCCACUAUUAUUGGGCUUAAAGCGUCCGUAGCUUGGUUGUUAAGUCUCUUGGGAAAUCUACCGGCUCAACCGGUAGGCGUUCAGGAGAUACUGGCAAUCUAGGGACCGGGAGAGGUGAGAGGUACUCCAGGGGUAGGAGUGAAAUCCUGUAAUCCUUGGGGGACCACCUGUGGCGAAGGCGUCUCACUAGAACGGCUCCGACAGUGAGGGACGAAAGCUGGGGGAGCAAACCGGAUUAGAUACCCGGGUAGUCCCAGCUGUAAACGAUGCGCGUUAGGUGUAUCGGUGACCACGAGUCACCGAGGUGCCGAAGGGAAACCGUGAAACGUGCCGCCUGGGAAGUACGGUCGCAAGGCUGAAACUUAAAGGAAUUGGCGGGGGAGCAC